GACGAACCGUGCGAACGUUAUUCGGAAUCACUGGGCUUAAAGCGCGUGUAGGCGGAAGGGCACGUCUGGUGCUGAAAUCCCCCGGCUCAACCGGGGAACGGGCACGGAUACGACUCUUCUGGAGGAACGUAGGGGGACCUGGAACUUCCGGUGGGGCGGUGAAAUGCGUUGAGAUCGGAAGGAACGCCCGUGGCGAAAGCGAGGUCCUGGACGUUUACUGACGCUGAGACGCGAAAGCCAGGGGAGCGAACGGG
rnacentral:rRNA from 1 species